GACAGAGGCCUCAAGCGUUAGGCGGAAUCACUGGGCUUAAAGCGUGUGUAGGCGGAUCGUUAAGUGCCUUGUGAAAUCCCACGGCUUAACUGUGGAACGGCUGGGCAUACUGGCGGUCUUGAGCCAUCUAGGGGCGACUGGAACAAACGGUGGAGCGGUGAAAUGCGUAGAUAUCGGUUGGAACGCCAAUGGGGAAAACAGGUCGCUGGGGAUGAGCUGACGCUGAGACACGAAAGCCAGGGGAGCAAACGGG
rnacentral:rRNA from 1 species